rnacentral:rRNA from 1 species
UACGGAGGGGGCUAGCGUUGUUCGGAAUUACUGGGCGUAAAGCGCACGUAGGCGGCUUUGUAAGUUAGAGGUGAAAGCCCAGGGCUUAACCCUGGAAUUGCCUUUAAGACUGCAUCGCUAGAAUCGUGGAGAGGUGAGUGGAAUUCCGAGUGUAGAGGUGAAAUUCGUAGAUAUUCGGAAGAACACCAGUGGCGAAGGCGACUCACUGGACACGUAUUGACGCUGAGGCACGAAGGCCAGGGGAGCAAACGGGG